GAACGUGUCUAGAAGCCAGUCGCUGCGAAUAUUCUCUGACGAUUAGCUGACAGAAUCUUUUUGGUGCUCAACCCUGCGUAUCCAGAGUCACAGAGGGGCAUCCGCCGUAAUUUUAACUAAGAUCCUUACCUCUUUCAGUAAUUUCGCAUCAAGAAAGUUUUCCAUCCUCGGGCCGCCACCGAAAAAACCCACAAAUGGCUAUAAAACCCGCCAGCGCCAAAAUUUCAUCCGAUCCCCAACCUCUUUCAUUCCGAUUCGAUCAAAUUUCUAUCUCCGAUCUUCAAUUCGAGAUUCCAAUCGUUCGAUUCGAUCUUUUUCCUACCUGUUGAUCCCAAUUUCAUUCCUCGCCGUGCCUCCAAUCCGAUUCUCUAGGGUUAGGGUUUUGAAUUUUCCAGAAAAGUUUUCGAUCCGAGAAAGGGUUUUUUCCUGAUCUGUGAAAAAAUUGUUCGCUGAUAGUUUUUCGCUGUCCCAGUUGUUAUGGGUGGUUCAAAAGUUUCCAGAUUUAUCUGAAAAUUUGGGAAAGUUUUAGGUUUUUUGGAAGUUUCCAAUUUUAUAUUGUUUUUGUCUGUAAUUGCUCGUAAGUUAGUAUUUAAAAUUAAAAUUGUAGUAAUUUUUGGGUUUUGACGUUUGAGAGGCUGAUUAUUUGGUGCUUUUGUCAGUUGCUGGAACUCCAUAUUUUCAGGAGAAAAUGACAAACAAACGGCCUUUCCAUGGUGACGAUUCUUAUGAGGUUGCUUGGAAGCACCCAAGACAAUUGGAAUACGCAAAUGAGCCUGCUCCAAUUGUGGAUACUUUUCCUUUUAGUAGCGCCCCCCAGAAAUUUCAAAUUUCAGAUGGUGAAGGUGAUGGGAGUUUUAGUACAUGUCCAGAUGAAGGAGGGUUUGCAAGUGACUUGGGAACUGAAAUC